rnacentral:rRNA from 1 species
UACGUAGGGGGCUAGCGUUGUCCGGAUUUAUUGGGCGUAAAGAGCGUGUAGGCGGCCAGAUAGGUCUGCUGUGAAAACUCGAGGCUCAACCUCGAGAUGUCGGCGGAAACCAUUUGGCUAGAGUCCGGAAGAGGAAAGUGGAAUUCCUGGUGUAGCGGUGAAAUGCGCAGAUAUCAGGAGGAACACCGGUGGCGAAGGCGGAUCUCUGGGCCUUACCUGACGCUGAGGAGCGAAAGCAUGGGGAGCAAACAGG